rnacentral:rRNA from 1 species
GACAGAGGCCUCGAGCGUUAGGCGGAAUCACUGGGCUUAAAGCGUGUGUAGGCGGAAGCGUAAGUACCUUGUGAAAUCCCACGGCUCAACCGUGGAACUGCUGGGUAUACUGCGUUUCUUGAGCAAUCUAGGGGCGAGUGGAACGGAUGGUGGAGCGGUGAAAUGCGUAGAUAUCUGGAGGAAUACCGGUGGCGAAGGCGGCAUCCUGGACCAUUACUGACGCUGAGGCGCGAAAGCUAGGGGAGCAAACGGG